rnacentral:rRNA from 1 species
UACGGGAGGCAGCAGUGGGGAAUAUUGCACAAUGGGGGAAACCCUGAUGCAGCGACGCCGCGUGGAGGAAGAAGGUCUUCGGAUUGUAAACUCCUGUUGUUGAGGAAGAUAAUGACGGUACUCAACAAGGAAGUGACGGCUAACUACGUGACAGCAGCCGCGGUAAAAUGUAGGUCACAAGCGUUGUCCGGAAUUACUGGGUGUAAAGGGAGCGCAGGCGGGCGAUCAAGUUGGAAGUGAAAUCCAUGGGCUCAACCCAUGAACUGCUUUCAAAACUGAUUGUCUUGAGUAGUGCAGAGGUAGGCGGAAUUCCCGGUGUAGCGGUGGAAUGAGUAGAUAUCGGGAGGAACACCAGUGGCGAAGGCGGCCUACUGGGCACCAACUGACGCUGAGGCUCGAAAGUAUGGGUAGCAAACAGGAUUAGAUACCCUGGUAGUCCACACCGUAAACGAUGAUUACUAGGUGUUGGAGGAUUGACCCCUUCAGUGCCGCAGUUAACACAAUAAGUAAUCCACCUGGGGAGUACGACCGCAAGGUUACAGCUCAAAGGAAUUGACGGA